rnacentral:rRNA from 1 species
UACGGAAGGCAGCAGUGGGUAAUAUUCGCACAAUGGGCGCAAGCCUGAUGGCAGCCAUGCCGCGUGUAUGAAGAAGGCCUUCGGGUUGUAAAGUACUUUCAGUCGUGAGGAAGGUGUUAAGGUUAAUAACCUUAGCAAUUGACGUUAGCGACAGAAGAAGCACCGGCUAACUCCGUGCCAGCAGCCGCGGUAAUACGGAGGGUGCGAGCGUUAAUCGGAAUUACUGGGCGUAAAGGGCACGCAGGCGGUUAAUUAAGUUGGAUGUGAAAUCCCCGGGCUUAACCUGGGAAUGGCAUUCAAGACUGGUUAGCUAGAGUCUUGUAGAGGGGGUAGAAUUCCAUGUGUAGCGGUGAAAUGCGUAGAGAUGUGGAGGAAUACCGGUGGCGAAGGCGGCCCCUGGGACAAAGACUGACGCUCAUGUGCGAAAGCGUGGGGAGCAAACAGGGAUUAGAUACC